AAUCCAUAGGUUAAUGAGGCGAACCGGGGGAACUGAAACAUCUAAGUACCCCGAGGAAAAGAAAUCAACCGAGAUUCCCCCAGUAGCGGCGAGCGAACGGGGAGGAGCCCAGAGCCUGAAUCAGCAUGUGUGUUAGUGGAAGCGUCUGGAAAGGCGCGCGAUACAGGGUGACAGCCCCGUACACAAAAGCGCAUGUGCUGUGAGCUCGAUGAGUAGGGCGGGACACGUGGUAUCCUGUCUGAAUAUGGGGGGACCAUCCUCCAAGGCUAAAUACUCCUGACUGACCGAUAGUGAACCAGUACCGUGAGGGAAAGGCGAAAAGAACCCCGGCGAGGGGAGUGAAAAAGAA
rnacentral:rRNA from 4 species